CCUACGGGGGGCAGCAGUGAGGAAUAUUGGUCAAUGGGCGUGAGCCUGAACCAGCCAAGUCGCGUGAGGGAUGACGGUCCUAUGGAUUGUAAACCUCUUUUGCCGGGGAGCAAAAAGCGGUACGUGUACCGCAUCGAGAGUACCCGGUGAAAAAGCAUCGGCUAACUCCGUGCCAGCAGCCGCGGUAAUACGGAGGAUGCGAGCGUUAUCCGGAUUUAUUGGGUUUACAGGGUGCGAAGGCGGCGUGUUAAGGCAGCGGGAAAAUUUCGGGGCUCAACCCCGCCGCGCCGUUGAAACUGGCUUGCUAGAGUGGGCGAGAAGUAUGCGGAAUGCGUGGUGUAGCGGUGAAAUGCAUAGAUAUCACGCAGAACUCCGAUUGCGAAGGCAGCAUACCGGCGCCCAACUGACGCUCAGGCACGAAAGCGUGGGUAUCGAACAGGAUUAGAUACCCGGGUAGUC
rnacentral:rRNA from 1 species